UACGGGGGGUGCUCGCGUUAUUCGGAAUCAUUGGGCGUAAAGGGCGCGUAGGCGGUCGCUUAAGUCAGAUGUGAAAGCCCUCGGCUUAACCGAGGAAGUGCAUUUGAUACUAAGUGACUUGAGUAUGGGAGAGGGAAGCGGAAUUCCUGGUGUAGCGGUGAAAUGCGUAGAGAUCAGGAGGAACACCGGUGGCGAAGGCGGCUUCCUGGACCAAUACUGACGCUGAGGCGCGAAGGAGUGGGGAGCAAACAGG
rnacentral:rRNA from 1 species